rnacentral:rRNA from 1 species
CCUACGGGAGGCAGCAGUGGGGAAUUUUGGACAAUGGGCGCAAGCCUGAUCCAGCCAUGCCGCGUGCGGGAAGAAGGCCUUCGGGUUGUAAACCGCUUUUGUCAGGGAAGAAAAGGUUCUAGAUAAUACCUGGGACUCAUGACGGUACCUGAAGAAUAAGCACCGGCUAACUACGUGCCAGCAGCCGCGGUAAUACGUAGGGUGCAAGCGUUAAUCGGAAUUACUGGGCGUAAAGCGUGCGCAGGCGGUUAUGCAAGACAGAGGUGAAAUCCCCGGGCUCAACCUGGGAACUGCCUUUGUGACUGCAUAGCUAGAGUACGGUAGAGGGGGGAUGGAAUUCCGCGUGUAGCAGUGAAAUGCGUAGAUAUGCGGAGGAACACCGAUGGCGAAGGCAAUCCCCUGGACCUGUACUGACGCUCAUGCACGAAAGCGUGGGGAGCAAACAGGAUUAGAUACCCUGGUAGUCCACGCCCUAAACCGAUGUCAACUGGUUGUUGGGAGGGUUUCUUCUCAGUAACGUAGCUAACGCGUGAGUUGACCGCCUGGGGNGGACGGCGCGAGUAGUUAACGUUACGAAGAAGUUAGUAGGCGNGNGAGNGCGACGGACGACGACGAGGGAGGAGG